ACUGCUCAAAAUUUGCACACCUCUCCGUGGUGAGCAGCAGGCAACGUAGCACUUGCUACGGCAAAGAUGCAGAU
rnacentral:ribozyme from 1 species